GAUGAACGCUGGCGGCGUGCCUAAUACAUGCAAGUCGAGCGAACAGAUAAGGAGCUUGCUCCUUUGACGUUAGCGGCGGACGGGUGAGUAACACGUGGGUAACCUACCUAUAAGACUGGAAUAACUCCGGGAAACCGGGGCUAAUGCCGGAUAACAUUUAGAACCGCAUGGUUCUAAAGUGAAAGAUGGUUUUGCUAUCACUUAUAGAUGGACCCGCGCCGUAUUAGCUAGUUGGUAAGGUAACGGCUUACCAAGGCAACGAUACGUAGCCGACCUGAGAGGGUGAGCGGCCACACUGGAACUGAGACACGGUCCAGACUCCUACGGGAGGCAGCAGUAGGGAAUCUUCCGCAAUGGGCGAAAGCCUGACGGAGCAACGCCGCGUGAGUGAUGAAGGUCUUCGGAUCGUAAAACUCUGUUAUUAGGGAAGAACAAAUGUGUAAGUAACUGUGCACGUCUUGACGGUACCUAAUCAGAAAGCCACGGCUAACUACG
rnacentral:rRNA from 1 species